UUGGAGGGCAAGUCUGGUGCCAGCAGCCGCGGUAAUUCCAGCUCCAAUAGCGUAUAUUAAAGUUGUUGCAGUUAAAAAGCUCGUAGUUGGAUUUCGGGGUCAGUAGGUUGGUCAUGCCACUGGUAUGUACUGGUCUCACUGAUUCCUCCUUCCUGAUGAGCCGUAAUGCCAUUAAUUUGGUGUUGCGAGGAAUCUGGACUGUUACUUUGAAAAAAUUAGAGUGUUUAAAGCAGGCUAACGCUUGAAUACAUUAGCAUGGAAUAAUGAAAUAGGACGUUCGAUCUUAUUUUGUUGGUUUCUAAGAUUGACGUAAUGAUUAAUAGGGAUAGCUGGGGGCAUUAGAAUUCAAUUGUCAGAGGUGAAAUUCUUGGAUUUAUUGAAGACUAACUACUGCGAAAGCAUUUGCCAAGGAUGUUUUCAUUAAUCAAGAACGAAAGUUAGGGGGUCGAAGACGAUCAGAUACCGUCGUAGUCUUAACCAUAAACUAUGCCGACUAGGGAUCGGAUGAUGUUAAUUUUUUAAUGACUCAUUCGGCGCCUUACGGGAAACCAAAGUGUUUGGGUUC
rnacentral:rRNA from 1 species